rnacentral:lncRNA from 1 species
UGAGCUUGCGGAUGUGGCGGCUGUUAGUGCCGGCAACAACCCUGAAGUUGGAAACAUGAUUGCUGAAGCAAUGAGCAAAGUGGGCAGGAAAGGUGUGGUGACACUUGAGGAGGGUAAAAGCGCUGAGAAUCACCUUUACGUGGUGGAAGGAAUGCAGUUUGACCGUGGUUAUAUCUCCCCAUACUUCGUUACAGACAGUGAGAAAAUGUCUGUCGAGUAUGAUAAUUGCAAGGUAAAUGUUUUGUGUUCACAGCUACUGUAAUGAUACUGUGAUGAUAGGUAGCUUAAUGAAGCUUUUCUACUGUGCAGUUGCUUCUUGUUGACAAGAAGGUUACCAAUGCAAGGGACCUUGUUGGUGUUCUAGAGGAUGCAAUUAGAGGCGGUUACCCGAUCCUAAUCAUUGCAGAAGAUAUUGAACAAGAAGCUUUGGCUACUCUUGUUGUUAACAAGCUUAGAGGCACUUUGAAAAUAGCAGCUCUUAAAGCUCCUGGAUUUGGAGAGCGCAAGAGCCAGUACCUUGACCUAGUUUUUGGAAAAAAGUUUUGCUUUUUACAUAUGGGUCUAUGCUUUGUUACAUAGUUUGAUUAGCUAAUGCUAAAAUGUUUGUGGUCAUACAGUUUGACUGGGGUCUUGUCUGACUGUUUGGUUUACUAAUGUUUAUCUGACUGUUGGGUUUUUCAGUGUGACAAUGGCAUCGACUUUCACUGCUACGUCUUCACUUGGCUCCUUGAUUGCUCCCAAUGCCCUCAAGUUUCCUUCAAGCACAUUUGGAAAGAGACAGAAUGUGUGCUCAAGAAGAACCCAUCCUGCCAUUGUUUGUGCAGCCAAGGAGUUGCAUUUCAACAAGGAUGGUUCUACCAUAAAGAAACUUCAAGUAAGAAUCUGCGGCGAUAAUUAGGAUUCGUUUCUUUUUUUCUUUUUUUUUUUGGUUUCUAAUUGCUCUGCGUUUUAUUAGACCGGUGUUAACAAGCUAGCCGACCUUGUCGGUGUCACACUUGGACCAAAAGGGAGAAACGUUGUCCUUGAGAGCAAGUAUGGAUCUCCAAAAAUUGUUAAUGAUGGUGUCACCGUUGCUAGGGAGGUAUGAAGUUAUUGUCUGUUUGGUAAUUAUGUUUUAAAAUAGCUUUUGUAAGCUUAAGUUUUUCUUGUGGUUAGGUGGAGUUGGAGGACCCAGUUGAGAACAUUGGUGCAAAGCUUGUAAGGCAAGCAGCUGCAAAGACCAAUGACUUGGCUGGUGACGGUACAACAACAUCCGUUGUUCUUGCACAAGGUUUUAUUGCUGAGGGUGUCAAGGUUUGUACAUUCUUCAUUCAUCCUUCUCUGAUGUAAACUCAAAAGAACAGUAUAAUAGUCUGAAAUUUUGUAUUUUUUUCAGGUGGUGGCUGCAGGUGCUAACCCUGUGUUAAUCACCAGAGGCAUUGAGAAGACAGCAAAGGCUUUGGUUCACGAGCUGAAGCGAAUGUCCAAGGAGGUAACUUUCUUCUUGGAACUAUCUUUUUGAUCUGUCAAAAAACCGUAGCUAGAGGAUCUAAUGGUUAUGCCAUUGGAAACAUAGGUUGAAGACAGUGAGCUUGCGGAUGUGGCGGCUGUUAGUGCCGGCAACAACCCUGAAGUUGGAAACAUGAUUGCUGAAGCAAUGAGCAAAGUGGGCAGGAAAGGUGUGGUGACACUUGAGGAGGGUAAAAGCGCUGAGAAUCACCUUUACGUGGUGGAAGGAAUGCAGUUUGACCGUGGUUAUAUCUCCCCAUACUUCGUUACAGACAGUGAGAAAAUGUCUGUCGAGUAUGAUAAUUGCAAG